rnacentral:rRNA from 22 species
GUGGCCCCAAGUCAGGCGAGGCCCACCCGCCGAG